GGAAGCCGGUCAAAUCCCGGCGCUGACCCGCAACCGUAGAUCGCCUUUAAUUGGUGAUGAGCCGGAUUAC
rnacentral:ncRNA from 2 species